rnacentral:lncRNA from 1 species
UCACGAGUAUUCGAUCUAAUCUGAUAAUAUGAACAAGGUUGUCACGCCCAGAAAUUUACAUCAAUUUCUAAACAAUAGCAUGCAUUAAUCUCGGUCCAGGAAUAAGCCCGAGUACACACUAGGACAAAUUAAUACACAGUUCUACGACUUAAAAACAACUAAAACAAUUAUCUAUCGAAAUAGAGCAGAAAAGAAAAACAAGACUAGAACCAUCUAAUCUUCAACUUCAGCUGGCGAUGACGACUCCACUCCACAGGCAUUCUUGACGGUGGACUGAACCUCACUUCAACCUUCGGAACUACCUCCUUCUGACACAUGCUCUGGCUCUUGCUCUGGUGGGGAAAAAUUAAGCAAGGCUGAGUCCAAACCACAAUACUCAGCAAGUAACCCCAAGAAGACGGCUCCACACCACAGGCAUUCUCGACGGCGGACUGAACCUUACUUCAACCUUCGGAACAACCUUCUUCUGACACAGGCUCUGGCACUUGCUCUGGUGGGGGAAAAUUAAGCAAGGCUGAUUACAAACCACUGUACUCAACAAGUAACACCCAAGAGAGGGAGAAUAAUGAAUGCAAUAGGGUAUCAAGGGUAGGCUAAGGUUAAAUUGCACAAAGCUACAGUAAAUUAGCAAAACAAUAGAUAAAAUAGACUGAACAUAAAGUAAAAUAUUAAAGUAAUCAUCCACUAUUCAACGUUACACCACGUUGCAACAGGCCCAGACCGCUAUCGAAUGUUACACCACAUAGGGAUAGGGUCAACACUCUAUCCAACGUUACACCACGUUGCGACAGACCCAAACCACUGCCCAACGUUACACCACAUUGCGCAGGGUUAAACCAAUUCCAAGUUCAUUAGGUUAUUAAGGGUUUGACUAAUCCCAGUGAAUCUGUAAGUCGCCCCAUAACCAUGGGCAUGACUAUGCGAAUAGUUGUGCUCUACAGAGGUGUACAACUUUACCCACAAGACACAACUCCACUACAUUUGAACGUGCGUCGGUGUAUCACCACGAUACCACGGAAAGUAAUCUGUUAUAGGACCACAUAAUCUUCCCUAUUUAAGCGUACCGCACUUCAGGUUUCACCCUCCUUUACACCAAGUCGGGCAGACCCCUCUUGUGCCUUGGUGAAUCCGGAAGCAGCAGAGGCUUUCGUUACACCACGAUUGUCCGUCCAUACUUCAUCAUGCCCACCCUUGCCUUGGAACGUCAAAUAGUUCGAAGCUACGCUUCAAAUCCCACCUUGCCCAUACUCGGCUUGGGUUUAGUACGUGUAAGACUUCCAGGGUUUCCCGAGACCAGGUCCUUAAUUGUCAUAGGCGCGACUCUCAAAACCAUGCACCCAUAGCCAACCAUAAGCAAUAUUUUAGUUGUAUUUAAUCCACAACGGGAGAUUAAUUAUGAUUAACAACUGCUAUAAAGUCUAUCAAGUCUAAUAGUAAAUAAAAGAUAAUUGGUGAGCUAGUUGAACUAAGCCAGGCUAAGCAUUGCCUAAUCCUAAUUCUAGUUAAAUUAACCCUGGGAUAACAAUAAUAAUAAAUGGGAAUUCAACAUAUAUAGAGGUAAUACCCCAAUAGGUAAAUAAAUAAAUAAAGUAAAGUAAAUUUACAUAAAGUAAUGCAUGAUUGAAUGUAAAAGCGGGGAAUUUCAUAAUCAUGGGAUCAAUAUGUUUAAGGAUGGGGUGCCACUUGGCUUGCUCAGACCCACGAGAAACUUCGGCGAUGACUUCGAGAAUGAUCGACGCUGCGACGGGGUCAAAAUCUACGACAAACAAAGCAAAACAAGCAAAAGUAGACUAUAAAACUACUAAAACAGAUAAAGAAACUAUUUUGAAUAGAUUCUUGGCUUUUUUUGGAUUUAACAAAAUUUGAAUGGGCCUAAACGGAGACUAGAUAAAUUAGUUAUGAAUUUUAGAAAUUUUCGAGGUUUUUAAACUAAACAGAAAACCUUAAAUAGAUUUAUUGCGUAAUUAAUUGGAGGCGCUUACGUCAGAAAGGAAAGAGGAGGUGCUGACAUCUGGGUCCCACUAGACAGUGAGGGAAAAGGGGAAAGAGGGGCUGACAGUGGGGUUCCACGGUUAGAGUGAGGACAAAAAGGAGGAAAGCUGAUAGGGCCCACAGUCCAGGUCAGAGAGAGAGAGCUGACGAGCCGAGCCCACUGGUCGGUGACACAAGUGAGAGGAGGGAGUGAGUGACUGACCGUGGGGUCCACCACACAGUGAGGGAGAGGGAAAAGGGGCCAUUGACGUGCGGGCCUGGGGCGACAGUCAGAGAGAACAGAGGAGGGAGAGGGGGCGGCUCGGCUUCGGCCGAAAGGGAGGAAGGAGAGGCGACCGUACGGCGGCAGCCGGCGGGCGAUGGCCGCGCUGCAGCGAAUGGUGGCAAUGGCGACGGCAGACGGAGACCUGUAGCCAGGGACGCAUGGUAAUGAUGCAGAAGCAGCUAAGCGGCGGUGGCUACGCGCGCACGCACGCGGUAGUGGCUAAGCGGCGGCGCGGCGAGCAGCGGAGGCACGAGCACGAUGGCGGCGAGGCCGAUGACGCGCGAUGCGGUGGCAGAGGAGUGAAGACGUGCGGGCGACAGGGGGCGGCGAACGUGAGCAGGGCGGGAGCGGCAGCCAGCGAGGCAGAGUUGAGCGGUGGCGAGGCGGCGCGACUCAGUGGUGUGAGCGACGAAGCGGCGCGAUGCAGUGGCGUUACGACGAUGAGGCGGCAGCCGUGACGCACGGGAUACGGCAUGGCGGGGACGCGGCGGUGAGGCCAUGGUGGACGACGCAGCGUGGCGCAAACGCGAGCAAGCGCGGUGACGUGGCUAGGCGGCCAGGGCGUCAAGCACGGCGUGGCUAGCAGCGCGGAGGCAGGCAAGGCAAUGGUCGGGGAGAGAGAGGCGGCGACCCUGGCUGAACGGCGGUCAAGCGGCGCAAGGGCGAUGGUGUGGCUGUGCGAGGGGAUAUGACGGGGCGGAGGAGGAAGGGGAAUGGGAGACGGCGGGGACGGCUGGCUGGGAGGGCUUGGCGACGGCGAUGGCGCUAGUAAAACGGCGACGACGCGCGCGGGGAAGAUGUGAGGAAGGGAGGGGAGCGAGGCGGUGACAGUGACGACCGGCAGCGGUGGCGAUGCAGCUAGAUGGCGACGCAGCUAGAUGGCGAGCACCGAGGGAGAGGGAGAGAGGAGGAAGGGGGAGAUGGGCUCACACGACGAGGACCAGGGAAGGAACGGAGGGGCAGGGAUCGACAUCCGGCAGCGCACGGGCGAAGAAAGCGGAGCGACGACCCACGGGAGCAGCGGCGCGAUAGCGGAACAGUGACGGCACACGCGCUCUCGGGGCAGCGCUCGGUGGCAGCCGGGGAGAGGAGGUAAAGGAGGAGGAAGGGGAGGGGAAAAUGCUCACCGACACGACGACAAAGACGGAUCUGUGGCAACGCGAUCACCAACGGUGAAGAUGUGCACCGAGGCAAUGAAGACGACGAUAUGCCGGCGGUGACAAGGUGGCGGAGAUGUUGCUCGGCGGCGGCAGGCAACGGCAUCCGGCGGUGGUGGGAAAUGUGGCGACAACGGCGAGGGGUGGGGUUUAAAUAGGAGAGGGGGCAUCGCCGGGGUUGAAAAGUGUGGGAAACAAGGAAAGCAGAGAUUUUGACAUGAUUAGGGGCGUGAAUGGUGGCGGAAUAGGUGGCACUGAUUGUGGGCGGUUGCGUGACACGGCAAUCGCGGUGGCGACAUGACGGGGACGCAGUCGCGGGUGCAGGUGCAGGUAAGGCGGCGGUCGGCGGUGGGGAAAGACUGGCCCGACGGCGGCGGUUGGGGUUAAAUAGGAGGGGAGGUUG